AACGAACGCUGGCGGCAGGCUUAACACAUGCAAGUCGAACGCGUGUAGCAAUACACGAGUGGCGCACGGGUGAGUAACGCGUGGAUAUCUGCCUUUUGGUUCGGAAUAACUCCGGGAAACUGGAGCUAAUACCGGAUGGUUCCUUCGGGAUAAAGAUUUAUCGCCAAAAGAUGAGUCCGCGUACGAUUAGCUAGUUGGUGAGGUAAUGGCUCACCAAGGCGACGACCGUUAGCUGGUCUGAGAGGACGAUCAGCCACACUGGGACUGAGACACGGCCCGGUCUCCUACGGGAGGAAGCAGUGGGGAAUAUUGGACAAUGGGGGCAACCCUGAUCCAGACAUGCCGCGUGAGUGAUGAAGGCCUUCGGGUUGUAAAGCUCUUUUGGCGGGGACGAUGAUGACGGUACCCGCAGAAUAAGCCCCGGCUAACUUCGUGCCAGCCGCCGCCGUAA
rnacentral:rRNA from 1 species